GGGCUUUUUCAUCUGUUCAGAACCAUGGCUUUCCAUUUAAUUCUGAAGAGGUUAUUUUGGAUGCAGCCUCAACAGGGACUCAUUAAGUUUUGAUGCUGCAGAUCCUGAUGUGUCAAGAUAUCAAUAUUAUUUUCCAUAUUUACCCCAGUUUCCUGGCAGUGCUCUCCAAAUCACAUGAACAAUCCAGCCAGAUCCUGAUGGACUGUCACUCUGGCAGAGCUGCAGGAUUUAGAGAUAUGCUAGAAUGUUUUAGAAAAGAACUUUUACUGCAUUUUAAGGAAAAAAAUAAAUCAGACAUAAAGGAGCAGAAGGAGCACUAGGAAUACCCCAACAGUGAGACCACAGCCCACCACGUGUAAGGCUGGUUCCCUGUUGGCAGCUGUCACAAAUAAUCUGGACUUACUGGAAUCCAGCUUCUCAUCUCCAAGCAGAGAAGUGAUGAAGAUGGCAUGGCACACAAACCUCAUCUGCACCAGACUGCAUUUGCAGUUUCUAUGUCCACCAUAAGAUGGCAUUGUCAGUUCCCACAUUUGUUCCACCGUCCAGUGUGGUCAGGAGCCAACCUGCAGCCGUACUUCUCGUGCAAAAGCCGGUGGUGUGUCAGCACUUAUCCCACUGAAACCAGGUGUAGCUGCUGAGAUCACUAGAGGACAAGUGCAGUGUAACCAUGGAAAGCGACAAAGUUUUUAAACCUUCUCCAAGAAAGUGUCAGGAAUAAAGAUACCUUAUUUAGUGAUAUAUGUGAAGAUCAAAAGAAAAAAAAUCUCUGCUCCCAGAGAGACUGAAAAUUAUAAUAAAAGCAAUUUUACUUAGAAGUACUUCAGAAUAUGAAAGAAAACCCAAACUGGGAAUUGGACAUUUUAAAAAGGACUGGCAAGGUAUUUUGCUCAAAAUUAUAGCCCUGAUCUUCAAUUAGAGCUGGAAAUUAAUCAGGGCAGCUAAGACCUGGGUGCUGAUUUUGGCAGUAGCCUGUUCUGAGUUUAUCUUCAAAAACAGAGUAGAACAACCAUGUCUGCCCUGACAAAAAUCGUCAUAUGUUCCUCUUCUUGCACCAUUC